UUUAUUUACGCGUCUACUUUUCUAAGUCUUAGCUAGAUAUCAUAGAGUGUUGAGAGAGAGAGCUUGGAAGAAGAGAACACAUAGAUUUUAGAAAAGGAAGAUCACAGUGGUUUUGAGAGAGAAUCACCAUUUCUUGCUAGCAUACAACUAGGGUUUGCUAAAUCAAGGUAUAUUCUACUUCUAAGGUUUAUGUUUGAGUUUUCAUGUUCAUUCUCAGUAAAUUGUUAAGUCAUGUUGUGUUGAAAUAUACAUGUAGAUAUGGUUUAUAAACUGAUAAUCAUCAUAUAUGGUUGAUACUUGUGUGUCAAAUUUGUUAAAAUUGGGUUGUAGGAAGCAAAAAU
rnacentral:lncRNA from 1 species